GACGAACGCUGGCGGCGUGCUUAACACAUGCAAGUCGAACGGAAAGGCCCUGCUUUUGUGGGGUGCUCGAGUGGCGAACGGGUGAGUAACACGUGAGUAACCUGCCCUUGACUUUGGGAUAACUUCAGGAAACUGGGGCUAAUACCGGAUAGGAGCUCCUGCUGCAUGGUGGGGGUUGGAAAGUUUCGGCGGUUGGGGAUGGACUCGCGGCUUAUCAGCUUGUUGGUGGGGUAGUGGCUUACCAAGGCUUUGACGGGUAGCCGGCCUGAGAGGGUGACCGGCCACAUUGGGACUGAGAUACGGCCCAGACUCCUACGGGAGGCAGCAGUGGGGAAUAUUGCACAAUGGGCGGAAGCCUGAUGCAGCGACGCCGCGUGCGGGAUGACGGCCUGCGGGUUGUAAACCGCUUUCGCCUGUGACGAAGCGUGAGUGACGGUAAUGGGUAAAGAAGCACCGGCUAACUACGUG
rnacentral:rRNA from 1 species